CAUGGAGACCGCCUCCCCCUCCCCACACGCUGCUCUCUUCCCGCUCCCCUCUUCUCGUUCCCCUCACGAGGCCGGCGGUGGCUCCUCCCGUCCCGUCCCCAUCCCGCUCUCGCCCUCCGGGAGAAAGGCCCGGCGCCUGCUGAGGCGAACCAGGCCCGGCGGCCACCGGGGGCAGCCGCGCGCCGCGGAAAGCGGCGGCGGCGGCCCGGCCGCCUCACGGCCCCGGCCUAGGGCGGGGAUGUCCUGUCAAACCAGGGGGCGGCUGGUUAGGGCCUCGGCUCCGGCUGUCACCGAGGUGAAUGGCCAGUCCGGGAUGAACACUGGCGAAAGGGGAAAGUACAUGGCGUAGUAUUCCUUGUUCGUGUUUUUAAAGAAUUCUAAUAUAUGAAGUCUUUACAUGUAAAACGUCAGGCACACCUAUGCAGCUGCAGCCCGUUACAACUGCGAUGUUUUGGGGUUAUAAUGGCUAUUGUGCUGCUCAUACGGAAAUUUACGGAAAUACUGAAAUUUCAAGGUGAGCAGUCAUGUAGCUCAAGCUUUUCCCAAGCUUAUCUGUCAAAAGAAUGACCAUUGCCUUUUUAUUUUGUGCUUAAAUCCCUGGAGUUGGACAGGAAAACUUGAGCCUUUUUCCCACUACGUUCAGCUCUGGCUCAAAGUCCUCAUACUGAGUCUUACCUUGGAUCAGGAUCAACAAUAACUUCCUCCAGAUCCUCAGUUAAUUGUGGCCAAAGGUCUGCAGCUGUGGCAAGAACCAAAAUCCCUCCUGGGCAACACUUCUCAACAGGCCAACAUGCAGCAGAGGGAAGAGGUUUAGUGGCACAUGGAACACACCAGAGCUUCAUAAACAUCAAGGCAGACACUUCACUAACAACUACAAAUCAGUUCUAAUGGACUGAGGGGUGUGUUUUCUGCAGGGAAUUCCAUCAGGAGAUUUACCCCAGUCAGUACAAGAACUCGAAACUGAUGUGAAGAAAUCCUUUGGUUUGUGUCUUUCAACACUUCUGCUGGUUUAUUCAAGUUCUUUCUCAAGUUGCUGCACUGAUGGGAAUUAGGAACCCUCUGAAGAAAAUCCUGCAAGGACUUGCAAGUGCUCAUUGCACAAACAGAGUGAAAAUACUCCAGUUACGUACUGAGACACGACUAAGCCCAGGCACAGGAGCAUCUGGCUGCACAAGGCCCUAAACUGAACUCAGAAGCACUCAAAAGCCAGAGGAAUUGUGGCAUUCCCAAUGAAGGUGGAUCCAAAAGCACCAACACUUACUGGUUCACCCUGGCUGCCAAACAGGUAUCUCUUUCACAGGGCAUUUCAAGGCCUCUGACCAUUCCUGAAGACAACAAGGGUGUGGUUUUCCAGUCACUCUUUGCUCCCGACAUCAGAGGACACAGCCACAGUGACAGGCACAGAGAGGAGAAGCAGCCCUCCCAAAAUCAGGCAGCUGAUCAGAGGCAGACUGUCUGGCUCUCCACGUAGACCUACUGGACUUCCACAAGCAAUUUUUGACUAAUUCUCGUUCCCUCCCCAGCAGGGAACUGCUCUGUGUCUGAUAUGGCUCAGGGCCCCAGUGCUUCAGACUCCAGCAGGAACAUCUUGGCUUAAUUUAAAGCGUACUCACCCUGAAUUACAACUGUGUGGGUGCAGGCAGGUCCCUGAAGCAGCAACACUUGGGAUCCACGCUGUGAGAGGCAGGAAAUUUACUGUCACGCUGUGGUUUUGGGUUGUCUCUGCAGAAAACAACGAUUAUGGAACUUGUGAACACAAUUAGGUGACAUUAAAAGGUUUUUAAAGUAA